rnacentral:ncRNA from 1 species
UCCAACAAUGUCGUUACGGAUGGCAAAGGCAACACCAGCGUCGCGUCGCUCUGCCUUUGUAGACGUCCCACGAUGUCGUUCCGGAUGGCAAAGGCAACACCAGCGUCGCGUCGCUCUGCCUUUGGCCGGCCACUCCAGAAGAAGGUGUAGCCGGUACCCACCUCCUCCAGCUGGCCCUGCUCAGAUAAUCGGGUCUCGCUGAGAAUAAUAAAUAGUGCAUAGCCCAAUGCUUCGUCAUCUAAUAAGUGACGUGCAUGAAUGGAUUAACGAGAUUUCAACUGUCCCUCUCUACUAUCCAGCGAAACCACAGCCAAGGGAACGGGCUUGGCAGCAUCAGUGGGGCAAGAAGAACUUUUUGAGCUUGACCCUAGUCCAACUCUGUGAAGAGACAUGGCAGGUGUAGUUAUAAGUUGGAGGCGGGAAUCGCCCUUCGGGGUCUCUCUUUCGACCAGGAAAGACCACUCUCAGAAUGGUUUCUUUACUUUUUCAGUUCAGCGGGAACUGUCAAUUAUUUUCCAUGUUGACAUUAAG